AAAGUACUCCCUCCGUACCAAAAUUCUUGUCUUAGAUUUGUCUAGAUACGGAUGUAUCAAGUCACAUUUUAGUAUUAGAUACAUCCGUAUCUAGACAAAUCUAAGACAAGAAAUUUGGGAUAGAGGGAGUAGUUU
rnacentral:pre_miRNA from 1 species